UUUCUCCGAGCCUUUCGAGCCUUUGCUUCAACUCGCUUCUAAAUUAAAACAAAAUUUAUAUUUUCCUUCAAAUUUUAAUCGCAAUUCAAGUCAAUUUCAAAAUGUGCGGAGGCGGUUGUGGAGGCUGUGGCCCAUGCGGAGGCUGUGGCCCAUGCGGUGGUUGUGGACCCUGCUGCGUCUGUCCCACGCGCUACUUGAAGAGAUCAGAGGAGCAUAUGCCCUGUGUGUGGUGUGCACCAUGCAAAGCUCAUUGCUACAACACCCCACCCAAGUGCUGUUGCUAGAGGCCUAAGAGCUUUGCAUCGGUACGGAGUCUCCUUUAAGGAAAAUCUUAUAGCUAAAUACCAACUCCACUACUUAUCCUAUUCUUACUGUCGAAAAAUAAGAGGAAUUAUCCCAAGGUGAUGUGAGCUUCGGUUAAUAGUGAUUGUAAAACUGCGAAGAUCGUCAAUUUGGAAGCAGGUUGGACCUAAAAGGAUGGCAGAAGGCUUUUGAGCUUGAGCAUGGACUCUCGAAUAUCAGGCAUUACCAUAAGGCAUGGUAAAUACUAAGCCAAACUUCUAUCAACCGAGACUCUUGACUCGACUCAUUAAGAAGAAGGUGGCCUCUAUUCGUAUAAGCGCAUACGAAUGCGACCUGAUCGAAAACAAAGUGUCAAGCUCAUUUUAAAUUGUUAAAUUCAAAAUCUUCAAUUUUAUAAACAAUUCAGAAC
rnacentral:sRNA from 1 species